rnacentral:rRNA from 1 species
ACACAUGCAAGUCAACUUGAAUUUGGGUUUUUAACUUAGAUUUGGGUGGCGGACGGGUGAGUAACGCGUAAAGAACUUGCCUCACAGCUAGGGACAACAUUUAGAAAUGAAUGCUAAUACCUGAUAUUAUGAUUUUAAGGCAUCUUAGAAUUAUGAAAGCUAUAAGCACUGUGAGAGAGCUUUGCGUCCCAUUAGCUAGUUGGAGAGGUAACAGCUCGCCAAGGCGAUGAUGGGUAGCCGGCCUGAGAGGGUGAACGGCCACAAGGGGACUGAGACACGGCCCUUACUCCUACGGGAGGCAGCAGUGGGGAAUAUUGGACAAUGGACCGAGAGUCUGAUCCAGCAAUUCUGUGUGCACGAUGAAGUUUUUCGGAAUGUAAAGUGCUUUCAGUUGGGAAGAAAGAAAUGACGGUACCAACAGAAGAAGUGACGGCUAAAUACGUGCCAGCAGCCGCGGUAAUACGUAUGUCACGAGCGUUAUCCGGAUUUAUUGGGCGUAAAGCGCGUCUAGGUGGUUAUGUAAGUCUGAUGUGAAAAUGCAGGGCUCAACUCUGUAUUGCGUUGGAAACUGUAUAACUAGAGUACUGGAGAGGUAAGCGGAACUACAAGUGUAGAGGUGAAAUUCGUAGAUAUUUGUAGGAAUGCCGAUGGGGAAGCCAGCUUACUGGACAGAUACUGACGCUAAAGCGCGAAAGCGUGGGUAGCAAACAGGAUUAGAUACCCUGGUAGUCCACGCUGUAAACGAUGAUUACUAGGUGUUGGGGGUCGAACCUCAGCGCCCAAGCAAACGCGAUAAGUAAUCCGCCUGGGGAGUACGUACGCA